rnacentral:rRNA from 1 species
UCCUGGUUCAGGACGAACGCUGGCGGCGCGCCUAACACAUGCAAGUCGAACGAGAGAGAGGGAGCUUGCUUCCUCAAUCGAGUGGCGAACGGGUGAGUAACGCGUGAGGAACCUGCCUCAAAGAGUGGGACAACAGUUGGAAACGACUGCUAAUACCGCAUAAGCCCACAGCUCGGCAUCGAGCAGAGGGAAAAGGAGCAAUCCGCUUUGAGAUGGCCUCGCGUCCGAUUAGCUAGUUGGUGAGGUAACGGCCCACCAAGGCAACGAUCGGUAGCCGGACUGAGAGGUUGAACGGCCACAUUGGGACUGAGACACGGCCCAGACUCCUACGGGAGGCAGCAGUGGGGAAUAUUGCACAAUGGGGGAAACCCUGAUGCAGCGACGCCGCGUGGAGGAAGAAGGUCUUCGGAUUGUAAACUCCUGUUGUUGAGGAAGAUAAUGACGGUACUCAACAAGGAAGUGACGGCUAACUACGUGCCAGCAGCCGCGGUAAAACGUAGGUCACAAGCGUUGUCCGGAAUUACUGGGUGUACAGGGAGCGCACGCGGGAACACAAGUUGGAACUGAAAUCUAUGGGCUCAACCCAUAAACUGCCUUUCACAACUGUCUCUCUUGACGUAGUGCCCAGGUACGCGCAAUCCCCGGUGCUACGCUGGAAUGCGUAGAUAUCGGGAGGAACACCAGUGGCGAAGCCGGCCUACUGGGCACCAACUGACGCUGAGGCUCGAAAGUGUGGGUAGCANACAGGAUUAGAUACCCUGGUAGUCCACACCGUAAACGAUGAUUACUAGGUGUUGGAGGAUUGACCCCUUCAGUGCCGCAGUUAACACAAUAAGUAAUCCACCUGGGGAGUACGACCGCAAGGUUGAAACUCAAAGGAAUUGACGGGGGCCCGCACAAGCAGUGGAGUAUGUGGUUUAAUUCGACGCAACGCGAAGAACCUUACCAAGUCUUGACAUCCUGCGACGCACAUAGAAAUAUGUGUUUCCUUCGGGACGCAGAGACAGGUGGUGCAUGGUUGUCGUCAGCUCGUGUCGUGAGAUGUUGGGUUAAGUCCCGCAACGAGCGCAACCCUUACUGUCAGUUACUACGCAAGAGGACUCUGGCAGGACUGCCGUUGACAAAACGGAGGAAGGUGGGGAUGACGUCAAAUCAUCAUGCCCUUUAUGACUUGGGCUACACACGUACUACAAUGGCGUUAAACAAAGAGAAGCAAGACCGCGAGGUGGAGCAAAACUCAGAAACAACGUCCCAGUUCGGACUGCAGGCUGCAACUCGCCUGCACGAAGUCGGAAUUGCUAGUAAUCGUGGAUCAGCAUGCCACGGUGAAUACGUUCCCGGGCCUUGACACACCGCCCGUC